rnacentral:lncRNA from 1 species
CUUACUUCUUACAUAAAUAUCCUCAUAUUUCUGCUGAAUAUACUGUAAGUCCACAUACCAGUCGUUGUAUUCAUAUACUAAUACUCCUGAAAUACUCUUUUAAGAACCUGAACCUGAAAAGAAGGUUAUUGAGAAACCAAAACUCAAACCAAGGCCCCCAGCUCCUCCUCCUGCUCCACCUAAAGAAGAUGUCAAGGAGAAAAUAUUCCAGCUUAAAGCUGUUUCGAAGAAGAAAGUUCCUGAGAAACCUGUGGUUCCAGAAAAAGUGGAGCUUACACCUCUGAAAGUGCCAGAACCACCUCCAAAAGCUGUGGAAGAGGUUGAAGCUCCUCCAGCUGUUACCAAAAAGGAAAGGAAAAUUCCAGAACCAGUAAAAGGUACAAACUUCCAGUUGUCUCUAAAAAUACAAAUAUGCAUCAAUUAAAAUAUCAUUACACUGGCAUUAAGAUUUGAACACCUGACCUCUACUCAUCUCAUCCAGCUUAAUUUUCUUUACAAUUCACUCUCACGUGCAGUUGCCUCAUGCCCACCCAUUUGUUAAAUACAUUACUAAGUUUUAAAAACUAACAAAAUUGUAUUACGGGCAGUGAGAUGAAUA